rnacentral:rRNA from 1 species
UGAGUAACCUGCCCUUAACUCUGGGAUAAGCCUGGGAAACUGGGUCUAAUACCGGAUAUGACUCCUCAUCGCAUGGUGGGGGGUGGAAAGCUUUUUGUGGUUUUGGAUGGACUCGCGGCCUAUCAGCUUGUUGGUGAGGUAAUGGCUCACCAAGGCUUCGACGGGUAGCCGGCCUGAGAGGGCGACCGGCCACACUGGGACUGAGACACGGCCCAGACUCCUACGGGAGGCAG